GAUGAACGCUGGCGGCAUGCCUAAUACAUGCAAGUCGAACGAGAGGAAGGAAAGCUUGCUUUUCUGAAUCUAGUGGCGGACGGGUGAGUAACACGUAGGUAACCUGCCCAUGUGCCCGGGAUAACUUCUGGAAACGGAUGCUAAAACCGGAUAGGUAGCAGACAAGCAUUUGACUGCUAUUAAAGUGGCUAAGGCCAUGAACAUGGAUGGACCUGCGGUGCAUUAGCUAGUUGGUGAGGUAACGGCCCACCAAGGCGACGAUGCAUAGCCGGCCUGAGAGGGCGGACGGCCACAUUGGGACUGAGACACGGCCCAAACUCCUACGGGAGGCAGCAGUAGGGAAUUUUCGUCAAUGGGGGGAACCCUGAACGAGCAAUGCCGCGUGAGUGAGGAAGGUCUUCGGAUCGUAAAGCUCUGUUGUAAGAGAAAAACGACAUUCAUAGGGAAUGAUGAGUGAGUGAUGGUAUCUUACCAGAAAGUCACGGCUAACUACGUGCCAGCAGCCGCAGUAA
rnacentral:rRNA from 1 species